rnacentral:rRNA from 1 species
UACCACGCUUCCAGGAAAAGCUCCUAAGCUUCAGCUUACGCAGACCGUACCGUAAACCGACACAGGUGGGUAGGAUGAGAAUUCUCAGGCGCUUGAGAGAACUCGGGUGAAGGAACUAGGCAACAUGGCACCGUAACUUCGGGAGAAGGUGCACCCUUUUUGGUGGCUCGUGCGAGCUAUAGCUGAAGAGGGUCGCAGUAACCAGGCCGCUGCGACUGUUUAUCAAAAACACAGCACUCUGCAAACACGAAAGUGGACGUAUAGGGUGUGACGCCUGCCCGGUGCUGGAAGGUUAAUUGAUGGGGUCAGCCGCAAGGCGAAGC